UACGUAGGGGGCUAGCGUUGUCCGGAAUCAUUGGGCGUAAAGCGCGUGUAGGCGGUCCGGUAAGUCCGCUGUGAAAGUCGGGGGGCUCAACCCUCGAAUGCCGGUGGAUACUGUCGGGCUAGAGUGCGGAAGAGGCGAGUGGAAUUCCUGGUGUAGCGGUGAAAUGCGCAGAUAUCAGGAGGAACACCAGUGGCGAAGGCGGUGCUCUGGGCCGGGUAACUGACGCUGAGGAGCGAAAAGCGUGGGGAGCAAACAGG
rnacentral:rRNA from 1 species